UAGUCCACGCCGUAAACGAUGAUUACUCGUUGUUGGCAAUACACAGUCAGCGACUGAGCGAAAGCAUUAAGUAAUCCACCUGGGGAGUACGUUGGCAACAAUGAAACUCAAAGGAAUUGACGGGGGGCCCGCACAAGCGGAGGAACAUGUGGUUUAAUUCGAUGAUACGCGAGGAACCUUACCUGGACUUAAAUGUAGGCUGCAUAGAGUAGAGAUAUUCUUUUCUUCGGACAAUUUACAAGGUGCUGCAUGGUUGUCGUCAGCUCGUGCCGUGAGGUGUCGGGUUAAGUCCCAUAACGAGCGCAACCCCUAUCGUUAGUUGCCAGCGGAUAAUGCCGGGGACUCUAGCGAGACUGCCACCGUAAGGUGAGAGGAAGGUGGGGAUGACGUCAAAUCAGCACGGCCCUUAUGUCCAGGGCUACACACGUGUUACAAUGGCAGGUACAAAGGGCAGCUACACAGCAAUGUGAUGCUAAUCUCUAAAGCCUGUCCCAGUUC
rnacentral:rRNA from 1 species